UCUGUGAUGAUGAGGAGCGCAGGGGUACGGACCUCAGCCAAUGAUGGUGGCUGAGUGCUGCUGCAGGCCUUCUGAUUGGAGGACGAGUGGUCCACUGCCAGAAGGACAGCAGCACGAGACAGACGCUGGUCUGAACAGA
ensembl:snoRNA